rnacentral:rRNA from 1 species
UACGGAGGGUGCAAGCGUUAUCCGGAUUCACUGGGUUUAAAGGGAGCGCAGGCGGGCUUGUAGGUCAGUGGUGAAAUACCCGUGCUUAACAUGGGAACUGCCAUUGAUACUAUAGGUCUUGAAUAUCGUUGAGGUUUGCGGAAUGGGUCAUGUAGCGGUGAAAUGCAUAGAUAUGACCCGGAACACCUAUUGCGAAGGCAGCAGGCUAAGCGAAGAUUGACGCUGAGGCUCGAAAGCGUGGGGAUCAAACAGG